UACAGGGGGUGCAAACGUUGCUCGGAAUUACUGGGCGUAAAGCGUGCGUAGGUGGUUUGUUAAGUCUGUUGUGAAAGCCCCGGGCUCAACCUGGGAAUGGCAAUGGAUACUGGCAAGCUAGAGUGCGGUAGAGGGUAGUGGAAUUCCCGGUGUAGCGGUGAAAUGCGUAGAGAUCGGGAGGAACACCAGUGGCGAAGGCGGCUACCUGGACCAGCACUGACACUGAGGCACGAAAGCGUGGGGAGCAAACAGG
rnacentral:rRNA from 1 species